GUGCACUUGUCUUCAAACCCGUUGUGGUGCGUCCACG
rnacentral:tRNA from 1 species